CUCAGCAAUUUUUCCUCUGGACAGGUUUUGAUGUACAUAGCAAACCGUUAUCAAUUUACCUAUAGAUUUCCAGGAGGAAUAACAAAGGAACAGCUCAACUCCAGGGAUGUCCUGAAUUAGAAAAAGGGAUGCUUGAUUUUUUUCCCCCAGAAACAUGGCCACCAUUGACUUCCCCAAUUAUUUAAUAACAGAAAUGGGAUUGCAGUCAGGUAAUAUGAUGGACUUUGAUGUAGGCCAAGGACUGGAGAGAUUGUGAAGGUUUAAUCAAUAUUCAUUGACCAAGGUCCGAACCACAAGCAAACAUUUAUUCAUUUGUCUAAAGGUAGUGCUACUACUCCCAGCAUGGAACAGACUGAUGCUUGAUGAAGUCGCCUAAGUGCGGUGAAACGAGUUGCAUUUGAAUAAAAAAUCUUUUAC